AUGGGUCCUGGGCUUCUCCACUGGAUGGCCCUUUGUCUCCUUGGAACAGGUCAUGGGGAUGCCAUGGUCAUCCAGAACCCAAGAUACCAGGUUACCCAGUUUGGAAAGCCAGUGACCCUGAGUUGUUCUCAGACUUUGAACCAUAACGUCAUGUACUGGUACCAGCAGAAGUCAAGUCAGGCCCCAAAGCUGCUGUUCCACUACUAUGACAAAGAUUUUAACAAUGAAGCAGACACCCCUGAUAACUUCCAAUCCAGGAGGCCGAACACUUCUUUCUGCUUUCUUGACAUCCGCUCACCAGGCCUGGGGGACGCAGCCAUGUACCUGUGUGCCACCAGCAGAGA